GGAUCAGAGAACGAACCUAGUGUGGAGUAUUGUGGUUGUGCCACAGAGCAUUAUGGGGGUUCUAUGGGUUGCAAGCUUGAGUCAAGCUUCUUGGAAAAAGCCACAUCGAUCAUGUAAUGGACGAACGUCUGCAUAUUCAAACUGCGCAACACAACGAGAAGGUGAUGACCAGUCCACUCCACUGYCAUUGUCAACUCUCUCCUGACAUGGACUGAAGCCACAUCUCAUGUGCCUGCUCAUCCACAGGCACAAUGAAUGUUUCCUCUCCAAGCACUUCAAAUCCUGUCCUGCCCUCAGUGGAAGAGUUGAGCUCUUCUCCAACACCAUCCGUCUAUGAUGAGCUUGUCCUGCACUGAAGCUUAUGAACACCUCAUCCCCUGUCCUGCACUAAAGUCAAGCCUCUGAAUACCUCAACUCAUGCCUCAUAACCUCAUCCAAUCACUGCUGUGAUCCCUUCUACACUGUGUAGAAGUAGCUGUUUCAUUUCCAUUACCCAUAAUACUGUA